GACGAACGCUGGCCGUGCUUAUCACAUACGAGUCUCACGGGAAGGCCCCCUUGUGUGGUGCUCGCGUGGCGAACGGGUGAGUAACACGUCAGUAACCUACCCUUGCCUUUGGUUUAACUUCACUACACUGGGCCUAAUACCGUAUCGGAGCUCCUCCUGCGUGGCGUGGUUUGGAAUGUUUCGGCGGUUGGGGUUGGGCUCGCGGCUUAUCAGCUUGUUGGUGGGGUAGUGGCUCACCAAGGCUUUGACGGGUAGCCGGCCUGGGAGGGUGACCGGCCACAUUGGGACUGAGAUACGGCCCAGACUCCUACGGGAGGCAGCAGUGGGGAAUAUUGCACAAUGGGCGGAAGCCUGAUGCAGCAACGCCGCGUGCGGGAUGACGGCCUUCGGGUUGUAAACCGCUUUCGCCUGUGACGAAGCGUGAGUGACGGUAAUGGGUAAAGAAGCACCGGCUAACUACGUG
rnacentral:rRNA from 1 species